UACGUAGGGUGCGAGCGUUGUCCGGAAUUAUUGGGCGUAAAGAGCUUGUAGGCGGUUUGUCGCGUCUGCCGUGAAAUUUCGGGGCUCAACCCCGAACUUGCGGUGGGUACGGGCAGACUAGAGUGUGGUAGGGGAGACUGGAAUUCCUGGUGUAGCGGUGAAAUGCGUAGAUAUUCGGAAGAACACCGGUGGCGAAGGCGACCUUCUGGGCCGCCACUGACGCUGAGGCACGAAAGCGUGGGGAGCAAACGGG
rnacentral:rRNA from 1 species